UACCAGCACCCCGAGUGGUCGGGACGAUUAUUGGGCCUAAAGCAUCCGUAGCCGGUUCUACAAGUCUUCCGUUAAAUCCACCUGCUUAACAGAUGGGCUGCGGAGGAUACUAUGGAGCUAGGAGGCGGGAGAGGCAAGCGGUACUCAGUGGGUAGGGGUAAAAUCCGUUGAUCCAUUGAAGACCACCAGUGGCGAAGGCGGCUUGCCAGAACGCACUCGACGGUGAGGGAUGAAAGCUGGGGGAGCAAACCGG
rnacentral:rRNA from 1 species